rnacentral:lncRNA from 1 species
AUGAAACUUUAUGCCAAGCUGCUUCAAGGAAAAGAUUGUGAGAAUGAGACAGUCCUUAUAAAAAUGAACAUGAUCUGACAGCAGAGGGAUUGAAUCCUGUAGGGGUUUGCACCCCUUGAAGAUCCAGAGGAGAGAUCAAAUCAGAUACAGAGGUGCUUUGCUGCCUGUGUGCUAAGGAUAAGGAAGCUAAACAAUAAUAUCCCAGCAGUUUCCAGGACUAUGCCCGUGAGCAUCACCUCGCAGCCCUGGUCCCUCGACGCACAUGGACCUCACUGGCCUGGAUUGUGCCAUUUGCUGAAGGCAAGAGCCACACAGAGCUGCCAAGGGGACUCUGCAGGGUGGCUUUGCUGGGUACGUGUGCCCCAGGGCAGCGCUUCAGCGUGCUGAGCCUCUCAUCUGAGGGCUGAAAGGCAGCAGAGAGCAUAAUCUGUUUUAAUGGAUCCUUCUGCUGCUGUUGAAUAGCUCCCUGGUUUGGAUUACUUCUGCUGCAGGCACGAUUAGUCAGCAUCUGACAGGGCAGGGGGUCUCAGCGGGGAGUCCACAGCUAGCUAAGAAUAGGAGCCAAACAUUAUUUUCCGGCUUGUUUGGGAGAAAAACC